GCCUGGGUGGCUCAAUUGGUUGAGUGUCUGACUUCAGCUCAGGUCAUGAUCUUACGGUUCAUGGGUUCGAGCCCUGCAUCAGGCU
rnacentral:tRNA from 1 species